rnacentral:tRNA from 1 species
GGGCACGUAGCUCAGCCAGGAUAGAGCGUCGGACUUCUAAUCCGACGGUCAGGGGUUCGAAUCCCCUCGUGCUCG